CAGGAAAUGGCGUCGUAGGGGUGCAGCUUUGGGACCAGGAACUCCAAUUGGAAAGAUGUAGGUCAGCCAGGACAAGUGCCAAAUACAGGAAGAAAGGGAGUCAUUUUGUCAGAAAUUGUGCCAAGAUUUUCAUAAAGUAAAUUAAAUCCUGGAGAUGUUCCAGAAGACAAUCAAAGUUUGGCUAUGUGACCAUCAGCAACAAUAGUGGUGAAUAUAAAGUGAGGAAAGGCCUUCAAGAUUUGAAGUUUUUCCAAGUGGGAUGAUGACAUGAAAGGAAAACUGCAUGAAACAUUAGUAAACAGAUGGCAUCAUUUCAUCUCAUGCUCUGAAAGUGACAAGUUACACUGUGGCACUGACUUUAUUGUAUUAGCCUGUGCUGGCUGUGCUGAAUUUAUAAACCAUGGAGCAACUUUCUUUGGCUCUAUCUCGCACAACAGAAGGUGAAGUAAGAAAACACUGGGAAACUAAUUGACUUUUCAAGAGAAUCAUCUUUUGGGGUUGAUUUGGAAGGUUGAAGGAGGAGCCAAGAUAACAAAAAUCUAUUUCAAGUAAAUAAGUGUAUGUUCUUGCCUGGUGAUUCCUGUAGUGGCUUUUCCUGUACAUAUGAAUGAAAGACCUGGAGUAUAUUUUUUCUACCUAAAAACUUUGACAGCUAUUUUCAAGGAAAUAAGACAAUUUUUUAAGCUUUCAACACUCUAUGCUGUUGAUAUCUCAAUGUUCUUCUAAAGAGGCUUUUUGUUGUACAGUAGAAGAAGAGGCCUAUUCCAUAAAAGCAAAUGCAGUUGUCUGCCAGGUCAACGCUGGACCAGCCAGAAUCUGUGAUAAUAAGAACAAUAUGAAACAGAAUUUGAAUUAAUGUUACCUUGCCUUUCAGUAGGUUUAUUGACUUGAAUGUUGUAUUAUGUCUUAAUCAAUGUGUACGUAUUAGGUCUUAAUCAAUGUGGAUUCUAGUUGAUUUGUAGUGGAAAGUGCUACAAAAGCAGAAAAGCUACAAAGUGCUUUUCAGACAUAUUCAUAGGCUUGCCAAUAGCAGAGCCACAGGCAAAUAAUGUUCUGAUUGAAUGAAAAUAGGAGGAGAUAGAGUUUCAAACUUCUAGAAAAAGCAGACCCGAGAAACAAUUGGUCCAACACUCUGAGAAGAUAAGCAAUUUCAAUUUAUAUGUGUUAUUAAGGUAUUCAAUUGAUAUACGUUAUAUCAUUUAAUACAUGCUAUUAAAAUGCUUUUAAAUGGGUAGAUGAGUUCACCAAUGAAAAUUCUGGAACAGAGCAGUCCAUUGUUUCUAAGUUAACUUGAUAGUCAGGUUAGAAUUUGUGGGGACUAGAGGGCAGUCUUUUAAAACUGUAUUUGUUCAGUAAUCAUUAAAUUAAUUUUACCUAGAUGUUAUAAACAGUGGUUCAGUGCUAUCACUAUCACCAGGCAAAGAACUGAUUAUGCCAGGUGCAUCAACUCACCACAGUAAUCAAAUUGAAACUUGUCCACAAAGCAGGGUUAUAUCUAAAGCUCUUUGAAACAGGAGUUCAUGGUGUGCAUCUAGUUAAAUCUACCUAUAUAACCUUGUACAGAUUCCACCAUUUAUGAGAAAAGAGGUGCGUCACAUGGAUGUUGGCUUCCCAGCUGACUUCUAAAGUAAGAAAACAGCAGUGAUUCAUGAACUUGGCAGGGAUUCUUUCAAGUAUGAGAUUACUAAAAAAUAUGUACUACUUUAGAUACUGUAUUUCAUACUAAUAUUUCAAGCAUUUAGAGCUUUGUUGUUACAAAUACGUUGCAGGAGAAAUUAAGUUUAUUAAUGUAGAAAAUGUCCAUGUAGAAAACAAGCUCUUUAUGGCCCUCUUUCUUAACAUAUGUGUUCAAAGUUCUCAUUUCACUGUUUAAUUGCUUUGAACAAUAUGUAAAAAAUAGUAUUUUAUGUGGCUUAGUCAACUGAUUUAUGAGUAAGCAUUCUUUCAACUGUAGGUAUUAAAAAGUACUCAGAUGAAAGAGGUAAGAUGUGCAAGCCCAACCUUUCUGUCUUUGAGGGCAGAGACCAAACCUAAAUGUAAUAGAAGACAUUGAUAAAAUGUUUGUUCAGUGACACAUGAUGGCUUUAUAGCAGUCAUAGCAAUAAAUCCAGUGGGACAGUAUUCAAAAUAUAUUUUAUCAAGUUCUUCAUAGUUAGAUAUAAUCCUGAAAUAAAACCAAUCUAUAUUUGUAAAUAUGGAUUAGAAGCAUGAAAGUGCUGCUUAUUGUCAACAUUUAGACUGGGUAGUUUCUACACUGGCAGAUCUAGUUGGAACUUUGUGAUGAACCUAUUCCAGUUAUUUCCUUACAGUAAGUUCUUCAAAGAUAAAAAGGCUUUUAAGUCAGGAAAAUCCGGGACAUGCAUUGAAUAUCCAUUGAAAUGCCUAAGUCUUUAAAUGUAUGUAAGAUAAAGCACAACUGGAAGACAUACAUCUGUGUUCCCUCUGCCUCUUCUGCAUCCUUUAGGGGCAGGUUCUUUCUCCCAAUCAUAGCUUCACUUGCAUCUUCUGUAUUCCCAAGAAGGGGCAGGUACAGUCUCCUUUUGAGCUCCUUUUGUAGUUGUCUUUUUCUCAGCACUGCCCUGUGUCAUGCUUCCUCUCUAUAUCACAUAGUUCUGAGCGUUCUUACUGUUUCCCAAGUCUUUCCUCUUUUCAUGGUGCAUAGUGCAGGCAUUCAGAACAAGUCAAUAUGUAACGGAUGAUGACAGUGAAAUUUUGAAGCUGCAUUUUAAAUUUCAGAAAUGAACUUGAAACUGGACAUGUUAGACAAAUAGAAAAAUGAGAUAGAUCAGUUUCUCCUCUGUGGAAACAGAUACUGUCUACAGGGAGACCUUGGUCUCACUUCUUAGUAGAUCUGAAACAGAAGGGAGACAAGACAAAUUGGUUAGGGAGUGCUUUAGCAGAAUUCUGAAAUAAAAAUAAUGCACUGGGUGGGAGUACUUUUUGCAUUGCAAAUAGUUUGAAACAGUCUUAGUUUUUUGGCCAACUUUAUACAUAAUUGUGAAUCUAAGAUGUUCUUGGCAUGUUUCAGCUUCUGUCUUGUUAGAAGAUGUUAGCUCCCUCCAAGCUGUUUUAUUUUAGUCUGGUUGCUGUGACAGCCACAAGGCAAAAUUCAGCUGUUCUGGGAAGAGGGUCAGGUGCUGGCCUGCUGCUAUGAAAGUGGAAAGGGUGUGGGGAAAUGGUCAAGUAGAAUAGAGAACUGCAGGGGAAAAAUAGAGAGGGGAAAAUAGAACAACAUAAAAGCUACAGAAUUAAACUUGUGUUAUGAACAGAAUGAGUGCUGAUUUUUGCUUGUGGAAGAGUCUCAUUGCUUCCAGCAGAAUUGAGCUAUGGUACCCUGACCUAUCCCUAUUAACAGCAGCAGCAGCACCAACCUGAUGCUGUGAUUGAGAAAAGGAGCCCUUUGCUCUUCUGUUACACAGCAGCAGUCUAUGCCCUAGGUGCUUAAUUUCAGUGCUUUCAACAGAGGUGUGUAUAGCAUAGUGUAGAAAGUACAGAGGCUUCAUCUUGGCCUACCAAAGGGUUUGGUUCUGAUUUAUCCUGUGGGCAUAUACUUUUAACUGCACAUCACCAGUCGUGUUAAAAACUUAAUGUCCAUUACCAUUAAGAUGUUAGAAGACAAUUGAUAAACC